GAUGAACGCUGGCGGCGUGCCUAACACAUGCAAGUCGAGCGGAAGGACGGGAAGCUUGCUCUCUUGAUGUUAGCGGCGGGCGGGUGAGUAACACGUGGAUCACCUACUUCUAAGUCUGGGAUGAUUUCGGGAAACAGGAGCCACUAAUGGCUCAUAUUUUGUACCGCAUGGAUCAAAAGAGCAAGAGGGCUUUGCCGUUUCUAUUAGACGGAUCCGGGUUGCAUUGGCUAGUUGGUAAGGUCCCGGCUUACCAAGGCGACGAUGCGUAGCCGACCUGAGAGGGUGAUCGGCCACACUGGAACUGAGACACGGUCCAGACUCCUACGGGAGGCAGCAGUGGGGAAUCUUGCGCAAUGGGCGAAAGCCUGACGGAGCAACACCGCGUGAGUGAUGAAGGUCUUCGGAUCGUAAAACUCUGUUAUUAGGAAAGAACAGAUGUGUAAGUAUCUGUGGACAUCUUGACGGUACCUAAUCAGAAAGCAACGGCUAACUACGUG
rnacentral:rRNA from 1 species